CUUAGGAGUGGUGGCGCAUGCCUGUAACCUCAGUGACUUGGGAGGCUGAGGUAGGAGGAUUGCAAUUUCAAGGCUAGCCUCAGCAAUUUAUUGAGGCCCUAUGUAACUUAGCAAGACCCUGUCUCUA
rnacentral:sRNA from 1 species